rnacentral:rRNA from 1 species
AGCGAACGUUUGCGGCGGGCUUAACACAUGCAAGUCGAACGAGAAUCAUUCCUUCGGGGAUGAGGACAGUGGCGCACGGGUGCGUAACACGUGGGUAACCAACCCCCUAGACUGGGACAACCAGGGGAAACUCUGGCUAAUACCGGAUGUCCUGGGCGGUUCUUCGGAACUGCUCGGAAAAGGAGCAAUCUGCUAGGGGACGGGCCCGCGGCCCAUCAGCUUGUUGGCGAGGUAACGGCUCACCAAGGCUAAGACGGGUAGCUGGUCUGAGAGGAUGAUCAGCCACACUGGAACUGAGACACGGUCCAGACUCCUACGGGAGGCAGCAGUGGGGAAUAUUGCGCAAUGGGCGAAAGCCUGACGCAGCCACGCCGUGUGAGCGAUGAAGGCCCUCGGGUCGUAAAGCUCUGUGGAGGGAGAAGAAGUUCUGACGGUAUCCCUUUAGCAAGCACCGGCUAACUCCG